GAAUUCGCCCUUAGUUUGAUCCUGGCUCAGGACGAACGCUGGCGGCACGCUUAACACAUGCAAGUCGAACGGAGAACAUUGAGCUUGCUUAAUGUUCUUAGUGGCGGACGGGUGAGUAACACGUGAGUAACCUGCCUCUAAGAGUGGGAUAGCUUCUGGAAACGGAUGGUAAUACCGCAUAACAUCAUGGAUUCGCAUGUUUCUAUGAUCAAAGAUUUAUCGCUUAGAGAUGGACUCGCGUCUGAUUAGCUAGUUGGUAAGGUAACGGCUUACCAAGGCGACGAUCAGUAGCCGGACUGAGAGGUUGAUCGGCCACAUUGGGACUGAGACACGGCCCAGACUCCUACGGGAGGCAGCAGUGGGGAAUAUUGCACAAUGGGGGAAACCCUGAUGCAGCGAUGCCGCGUGGAGGAAGAAGGUUUUCGGAUUGUAAACUCCUGUUGAAGAGGACGAUAAUGACGGUACUCUUUUAGAAAGCUCCGGCUAACUACGUGCCAGCAGCCGCGGUAAUACGUAGGGAGCGAGCGUUGUCAGGAAUUACUGGGUGUAAAGGGAGCGUAGGCGGGAUGGCAAGUCAGAUGUGAAAACUAUGGGCUCAACCCAUAGACUGCAUUUGAAACUGUUGUUCUUGAGUGAGGUAGAGGUAAGCGGAAUUCCUGGUGUAGCGGUGAAAUGCGUAGAGAUCAGGAGGAACAUCGGUGGCGAAGGCGGCUUACUGGGCCUUUACUGACGCUGAGGCUCGAAAGUGUGGGGAGCAAACAGGAUUAGAUACCCUGGUAGUCCACGCCGUAAACGAUGAUU
rnacentral:rRNA from 1 species